GCCUUCGUGGUGUAGUGGUCAGCACUCUCGGCGCGUAUUUCUAGGGGUCUGUGGUUCGAGUCCCGGCGAGAGCA
rnacentral:tRNA from 1 species